rnacentral:rRNA from 1 species
GCAUAUCAAUAAGCGGAGGAAAAGAAACCAACAGGGAUUGCCUUAGUAGCGGCGAGUGAAGCGGCAAAAGCUCAAAUUUGAAAUCUGGCUCUUUCAGAGUCCGAGUUGUAAUUUGAAGAAGGUAUCUUUGGGUCUGGCUCUUGUCUAUGUUUCUUGGAACAGAACGUCACAGAGGGUGAGAAUCCCGUGCGAUGAGAUGAUCCAGGCCUAUGUAAAGUUCCUUCGAAGAGUCGAGUUGUUUGGGAAUGCAGCUCUAAGUGGGUGGUAAAUUCCAUCUAAAGCUAAAUAUUGGCGAGAGACCGAUAGCGAACAAGUACAGUGAUGGAAAGAUGAAAAGAACUUUGAAAAGAGAGUGAAAAAGUACGUGAAAUUGUUGAAAGGGAAGGGCUUGAGAUCAGACUUGGUAUUUUGUAUGUUACUUCUUCGGGGGUGGCCUCUACAGUUUAUCGGGCCAGCAUCAGUUUGGGCGGUAGGAGAAUUGCGUUGGAAUGUGGCACGGCCUCGGUUGUGUGUUAUAGCCUUCGUCGAUACUGCCAGCCUAGACUGAGGACUGCGGUUUAUACCUAGGAUGUUGGCAUAAUGAUCUUAAGUCGCCCGUCUUG